rnacentral:tRNA from 1 species
GCGAAGGUGCGGAAUUGGUAGACGCGCUAGCUUCAGGUGUUAGUGUUCUUACGGACGUGGGGGUUCAAGUCCCCCCCCUCGCACCA